rnacentral:rRNA from 1 species
UGAGGAAUUUUGCGCAAUGGGCGAAAGCCUGACGCAGCGACGCCGCGUGGGCGAUGAAGCUUCUUGGAGUGUAAAGCCCUGUCAGGUGGGACGAACGGAGCGUGGGCUAAUAUCCCGCGCUAUUGACGGUACCACCAGAGGAAGCCCCGGCUAACUCCGUGCCAGCAGCCGCGGUAAUACGGAGGGGGCGAGCGUUGUUCGGAAUCACUGGGUGUAAAGGGUGCGUAGGCGGUCCGUUAAGUCUGAUGUGAAAUCCCUGGGCUCAACUCAGGAACUGCAUUGGAAACUGGCGGGCUAGAGUACCGGAGAGGGAAGCGGAAUUCCUGGUGUAGCGGUGAAAUGCGUAGAUACCAGGAGGAACACCGGUGGCGAAGGCGGCUUCCUGGCCGAGUACUGACGCUGAGGCACGAAAGCGUGGGGAGCGAACGGGAUUAGAUACCCCGGUAGUCCACGCUGUAAACGAUGGGUGCUAGGUGUUGGAGGUAUCGACCCCUCCAGUGCCGUAG